GGCUAAUCUGCCCUUAGGACGAGAACAACCCCGGGAAACUGGGGCUAACUCUCGAUAGGCGAAGAACUCUGGAAUGAGUCUUUACCUAAAUAGUGCAACGUUAUCCUCGUUGCAUCGCCUAAGGAUGAGGCCGCGACCGAUCAGGUUGUUGGCGAGGUAAUGGCUCACCAAGCCUUUUACCGGUGCGGGCCGUGAGAGCGGGAGCCCGGAGAUGGGCACUGAGACAAGGGCCCAGGCCCUACGGGGCGCAGCAGUCGCGAAAACUUUGCAAUAAGCGAAAGCUUGACAGGGCUAUCCCGAGUGCCAUCCGCUGAGGAAGGCUUUUACCCAGUCUAGAACGCUGGGGGAAUAAGGAGAGGGCAAGUCUGGUGUCAGCCGCCGCGGUAAUACCAGCUCUCCGAGUGGUGUGGAUGUUUAUUGGGCCUAAAGCAUCCGUAGCUGGCUAGGUCAGUCCCUUGUUAAAUCCACCGAAUUAAUCGUUGGAUUGCGGGGGAUACUGCUUGGCUAGGGGACGAGAGAGGCAGACGGUAUUUUCGGGGUAGGGGUGAAAUCCUAUAAUCCCGGGAAGACCACCAGUGGCGAAGGCUGUCUGCUAGAACGCGCCCGACGGUGAGGGAUGAAAGCUGGGGGAGCGAACCGGAUUAGAUACCCGGGUAGUCCCAGCUGUAAACGAUGCAGACUAGGUGUUUGGACGGCCACGUGCCGUUCUAGUGCCGCAGGGAAGCUGUUAAGUCUGCCGCCUGGGGAGUACGAUCGCAAGAUUGAAACUUAA
rnacentral:rRNA from 1 species